CGGGACACGUGGUAUCCUGUCUGAAUAUGGGGGGACCAUCCUCCAAGGCUAAAUACUCCUGACUGACCGAUAGUGAACCAGUACCGUGAGGGAAAGGCGAAAAGAACCCCGGCGAGGGGAGUGAAAAAGAACCUGAAACCGUGUACGUACAAGCAGUGGGAGCACGCUUAGGCGUGUGACUGCGUACCUUUUGUAUAAUGGGUCAGCGACUUAUAUUCUGUAGCAAGGUUAACCGAAUAGGGGAGCCGAAGGGAAACCGAGUCUUAACUGGGCGUUAAGUUGCAGGGUAUAGACCCGAAACCCGGUGAUCUAGCCAUGGGCAGGUUGAAGGUUGGGUAACACUAACUGGAGGACCGAACCGACUAAUGUUGAAAAAUUAGCGGAUGACUUGUGGCUGGGGGUGAAAGGCCAAUCAAACCGGGAGAUAGCUGGUUCUCCCCGAAAGCUAUUUAGGUAGCGCCUCGUGAAUUCAUCUCCGGGGGUAGAGCACUGUUUCGGCAAGGGGGUCAUCCCGACUUACCAACCCGAUGCAAACUGCG
rnacentral:rRNA from 1 species